UACGGAGGGUGCGAGCGUUGUCCGGAAUCACUGGGCGUAAAGGGCGCGUAGGUGGCCUGUGGAAGUCUGCGGUGAAAGCCCGGCGCUCAACGCCGGGUCGGCCGUGGAUACUCUCGGGCUCGAGCUUACUAGAGGCAGAUGGAAUUCCGGGUGUAGCGGUGGAAUGCGUAGAGAUCCGGAAGAACACCAGUGGCGAAGGCGGCCCGCUGGGCAGUGGCUGACGCUGAGGCGCGACAGCGUGGGGGAGCAAACAGG
rnacentral:rRNA from 1 species